rnacentral:rRNA from 1 species
UACGAAGGGGGCUAGCGUUGCUCGGAAUUACUGGGCGUAAAGGGCGCGUAGGCGGCUCUGUUAGUCAGGCGUGAAAGCCCGGGGCUCAACCCCGGGAGGCGGGUGGAUACUGUCAAGCUCGAGUCCGGAAGAGGCGAGUGGAAUUCCUGGUGUAGCGGUGAAAUGCGCAGAUAUCAGGAGGAACACCAAUGGCGAAGGCAGCUCGCUGGGACGUGACUGACGCUGAGACGCGAAAGCGUGGGGAGCAAACAGG